UAUAUGUUCCAAGAUAAAGGCUUAGUAACUGUGUGGUCUGCACCAAAUUACUGCUACCGGUGUGGGAACGUAGCUUCUAUAUUGAGCUUCAAUGACAAUAUGGAAAGAGAAGUGAAGUUCUUCACUGAAACAGAGGAGAACAACCAGAUGAGAGGACCCAGAGCAGGAGUUCCUUAUUUCUUAUGAUAAGACGGAAUUAUCUGCUGCAUUACUUGUACGAUUAUCAAAGUACUGCAAAGAAGCCUUGAAGAAAGUAUCCAUUACAUUGUUUGCAGUUUGACAUUUCUUUUGCUUGGGUGGAAAUCCUGCACAUCUGGUCCAGGCUGUUUCUAAGGAUUCCGCGGGUUUGUGUAUUAGAUUGAUGUAUCUCACCGUAAUUAUUUGUCAGUUAGUGUCUCAAUAUCUUCUUUGUUAGGGCAUAGUUUUGAAACAUUCCAAAUAGCAUGUGGCUUACUCAAUCGUGAAUUUGUCCACUAUAUUUUUACUUACGUGUCAGCUAUCUUCCAUUUCUUGUUGGAACAACUUGGAUUCUAAAUUGAAUUUUUGUUAUUCUUAAAUAUGUUGUUUUCUUAUACGGAGUGAAUUACUAGGUGUGUUGCUUUCUUCA